rnacentral:rRNA from 1 species
UACGUAGGGCGCAAGCGUUGUCCGGAAUUAUUGGGCGUAAGAGCUCGUAGGCGGUUUGUCGCGUCUGCUGUGAAAACCUAAGGCUCAACCUUGGGCUUGCAGUGGGUACGGGCAGACUAGAGUGCGGUAGGGGUGACUGGAAUUCCUGGUGUAGCGGUGGAAUGCGCAGAUAUCAGGAGGAACACCGGUGGCGAAGGCGGAUCUCUGGGCCUUGCCUGACGCUGGAGGCGCCGAAAAGCUAGGGGAGCGAACAGG